AACGAACGCUGGCGGCAUGCCUAACACAUGCAAGUCGAACGAGACCUUCGGGUCUAGUGGCGCACGGGUGCGUAACGCGUGGGAAUCUGCCCUUGGGUUCGGAAUAACAGUUAGAAAUGACUGCUAAUACCGGAUGAUGUCGUAGGACCAAAGAUUUAUCGCCCAAGGAUGAGCCCGCGUAGGAUUAGCUAGUUGGUGGGGUAAAGGCCUACCAAGGCGACGAUCCUUAGCUGGUCUGAGAGGAUGAUCAGCCACACUGGGACUGAGACACGGCCCAGACUCCUACGGGAGGCAGCAGUGGGGAAUAUUGGACAAUGGGCGAAAGCCUGAUCCAGCAAUGCCGCGUGAGUGAUGAAGGCCUUAGGGUUGUAAAGCUCUUUUACCCGGGAUGAUAAUGACAGUACCGGGAGAAUAAGCCCCGGCUAACUCCGUGCCAGCCGCCGCGGUAAUAC
rnacentral:rRNA from 1 species